rnacentral:lncRNA from 1 species
AGGAGAUUCGGGCGGCCCAGUCCGAGUGGGUGAUCACGGAUGAUCAGCUGCGCGCCGAUGUUAAGGCAGCAAUAGCAGAUUCGGUGCUGCCUGCAUACAAGGGCUUGAUUGCGAGGCUGAGAUCGUCUCCAGAUCCUCCGCAGGAUCUGUUCAUCAAGCAUACCCCAGAGGAUGUUGAGGCAUGCAUCCAACAUUUGUUUGAAGGAAUUGGGAAAUGAUUGGUUAUCUUGUACUGUAGCAUCUUAUUGGUCGUGCCUGUGAUUUUCGUAUCAUCAUUAAAGUACUGUUGUGGCCGAUAUCUGAAGUUCUGAACAUGGAUAAUGGGGAAAUAAUGGUACCACUUUGGGUUUGAUGGUGUUUUGCCAUGAGGUUAGGCUUUAUAUUAGACGCGCAAAUCAUUGUCUUCUCCAACUGUGUAAAUUAUUGUAGGCAUUUCUCUGUCAGUUGUUAAUGGUAGUCUUAUUCAAAACAUUAUCUGUCUUCUUAUUUAUCGUGUUUCAGUGCCUGGUUGU